rnacentral:rRNA from 1 species
GAUGAACGCUGGCGGCGUGCCUAAUACAUGCAAGUCGAGCGAACGGACGAGAAGCUUGCUUCUCUGAUGUUAGCGGCGGACGGGUGAGUAACACGUGGAUAACCUACCUAUAAGACUGGGAUAACUUCGGGAAACCGGAGCUAAUACCGGAUAAUAUUUUGAACCGCAUGGUUCAAAAGUAAAAGACGGUCUUGCUGUCACUUAUAGAUGGAUCCGCGCUGCAUUAGCUAGUUGGUAAGGUAACGGCUUACCAAGGCAACGAUGCAUAGCCGACCUGAGAGGGUGAGCGGCAACACUGGAACUGAGACACGGUCCAGACUCCUACGGGAGGCAGCAGUAGGGAAUCUUCCGCAAUGGGCGAAAGCCUGACGGAGCAACGCCGCGUGAGUGAUGAAGGUCUUCGGAUCGUAAAACUCUGUUAUUAGGGAAGAACAUAUGUGUAAGUAACUGUGCACAUCUUGACGGUACCUAAUCAGAAAGCCACGGCUAACUACGUG